UACGAGGGGGGGCAAGCGUUGUUCGGAAUUAUUGGGCGUAAAGGGUGCGUAGGCGGCGCGGUAUGUCUCUUGUGAAAUCUCCAGGCUCAACUUGGAGUCUGCAAGGGAAACUGCCGUGCUUGAGUACUGGAGAGGUGAGUGGAAUUCCCCGGUGUAGCGGUGAAAUGCGUAGAUAUCGGGAGGAACACCUGUGGCGAAAGCGGCUCACUGGACAGUAACUGACGCUGAUGCACGAAAGCUAGGGGGAGCAAAACAGG
rnacentral:rRNA from 1 species